AUGGGAGCUUGCUCCCUGAUGUUAGCGGCGGACGGGUGAGUAACACGUGGGUAACCUGCCUGUAAGACUGGGAUAACUCCGGGAAACCGGGGCUAAUACCGGAUGCUUGUUUGAACCGCAUGGUUCAAACAUAAAAGGUGGCUUCGGCUACCACUUACAGAUGGACCCGCGGCGCAUUAGCUAGUUGGUGAGGUAAUGGCUCACCAAGGCAACGAUGCGUAGCCGACCUGAGAGGGUGAUCGGCCACACUGGGACUGAGACACGGCCCAGACUCCUACGGGAGGCAGCAGUAGGGAAUCUUCCGCAAUGGACGAAAGUCUGACGGAGCAACGCCGCGUGAGUGAUGAAGGUUUUCGGAUCGUAAAGCUCUGUUGUUAGGGAAGAACAAGUACCGUUCGAAUAGGGCGGUACCUUGACGGUACCUAACCAGAAAGCCACGGCUAACUACGUGCCAGCAGCCGCGGUAAUACGUAGGUGGCAAGCGUUGUCCGGAAUUAUUGGGCGUAAAGGGCUCGCAGGCGGUUCCUUAAGUCUGAUGUGAAAGCCCCCGGCUCAACCGGGGAGGGUCAUUGGAAACUGGGGAACUUGAGUGCAGAAGAGGAGAGUGGAAUUCCACGUGUAGCGGUGAAAUGCGUAGAGAUGUGGAGGAACACCAGUGGCGAAGGCGACUCUCUGGUCUGUAACUGACGCUGAGGAGCGAAAGCGUGGGGAGCGAACAGGAUUAGAUACCCUGGUAGUCC
rnacentral:rRNA from 1 species